UACAGAGGUCCCAAGCGUUGUUCGGAUUCAUUGGGCGUAAAGGGUGCGUAGGUGGCGUCGUAAGUCGGGUGUGAAAUCUCGGGGCUUAACUCCGAAACUGCAUUCGAUACUGCGGUGCUUGAGGACUGGAGAGGAGACUGGAAUUUACGGUGUAGCAGUGAAAUGCGUAGAGAUCGUAAGGAAGACCAGUGGCGAAGGCGGGUCUCUGGAAAGUUCCUGACGCUGAGGCACGAAGGUCAGGGGAGCAAACGGG
rnacentral:rRNA from 1 species